rnacentral:rRNA from 1 species
AAAACAACAGGGAUUGCCUCAGUAACGGCGAGUGAAGCGGCACAAGCUCAAAUUUGAAAUCUGGCUCUUUCAGGGUCCGAGUUGUAAUUUGUAGAAGAUGCUUGGGGUGUGGCACCGGUCUAAGUCCCUUGGAACAGGGCGUCAUAGAGGGUGAGAAUCCCGUAUGUGACUGGAUGCCUACGCCCAUGUCAAGCUCUUUCGACGAGUCGAGUUGUUUGGGAAUGCAGCUCUAAAUGGGUGGUAUAUUUCAUCUAAAGCUAAAUAUUGGCCAGAGACCGAUAGCGCACAAGUAGAGUGAUCGAAAGAUGAAAAGCACUUUGGAAAGAGAGUUAAACAGUACGUGAAAUUGUUAAAAGGGAAGCGCUUGCAAUCAGACUUGCGCCUGGUCGAUCAUCCGAACUUCUGUCCGGUGCACUCGAUCAGGCUCAGGCCAGCAUCGGUUUGGGCGGUUGGAUAAAGGCCUUGGGAAUGUGGCCCCUCUCGGGGGGUGUUAUAGCCCUCGGUGCAAUGCAGCCAGCCUGGACCGAGGACCGCGCUUCGGCUAGGAUGCUGGCGUAAUGGUUGUAAGCGACCCGUCUGAAAACACGGA